GCAGUGCGUGGCCGAAUGGUUACGCUGUCCGCUUUGUAAGCGGAUGAGUCUGGGUUCGAUUCCCAUCUGCUGCA
rnacentral:tRNA from 1 species